rnacentral:rRNA from 1 species
AUCCUGGCUCAGGAUGAACGCUAGCGGCAGGCUUAAUACAUGCAAGUCGUGGGGCAGCAUGAGUAGCAAUACUUGAUGGCGACCGGCAAACGGGUGAGGAACACGUACACAACCUUCCUUCAAGCGGGGGAAUAGCCCAGAGAAAUUUGGAUUAAUACCCCAUAAUAUAUUUGAUAAGGCAUCUUAUUAAUAUUAAAGCUUCGGCACUUGAUGAUGGGUGUGCGGCUGAUUAGAUAGUUGGCGGGGUAACGGCCCACCAAGUCUACGAUCAGUAGCUGAUGUGAGAGCAUGAUCAGCCACACGGGCACUGAGACACGGGCCCGACUCCUACGGGAGGCAGCAGUAAGGAAUAUUGGACAAUGGACGAAAGUCUGAUCCAGCCAUGCCGCGUGAAGGAUUAAGGUCCUCUGGAUUGUAAACUUCUUUUAUAUGGGACGAAAAAAGGGCAUUCUUGUUCACUUGACGGUACCAUAUGAAUAAGCACCGGCUAACUCCGUG